UACGUAGGUGGCAAGCGUUGUCCGGAUUUACUGGGUGUAAAGGGCGUGUAGCCGGGUUGACAAGUCAGAUGUGAAAUCCUGCGGCUUAACCGCAGAACUGCAUUUGAAACUGUUGAUCUUGAGUACUGGAGAGGCAGACGGAAUUCCUAGUGUAGCGGUGAAAUGCGUGGAUAUUAGGAGGAACACCAGUGGCGAAGGCGGUCUGCUGGACGAUAACUGACGUUGAGGCUCGAAAGCGUGGGGAGCAAACAGG
rnacentral:rRNA from 1 species